UGCAGUCGAGCGGUAGGCCCUUCGGGGUACACGAGCGGCGAACGGGUAGAGUAACACGUGGGUGAUCUGACUUGCACUCUGGGAUAAGCCUGGGAAACUGGGUCUAAUACCGGAUAUGAGCCUGGACUGCAUGGUCCGGGUUGGAAAGGUUUACUGGUGCGAGAUGGGCCCGCGGCCUAUCAGCUUGUUGGUGAGGUAACGGCUCACCAAGGCGACGACGGGUAGCCGACCUGAGAGGGUGACCGGCCACACUGGGACUGAGACACGGCCCAGACUCCUACGGGAGGCAGCAGUGGGGAAUAUUGCACAAUGGGCGCAAGCCUGAUGCAGCGACGCCGCGUGAGGGAUGACGGCCUUCGGGUUGUAAACCUCUUUUGACAGGGACGAAGCGCAAGUGACGGUACCUGUAGAAGAAGCACCGGCCAACUACGUGCCAGCAGCCGCGGUAAUACGUAGGGUGCGAGCGUUGUCCGGAAUUACUGGGCGUAAAGAGCUUGUAGGCGGUCUGUCGCGUCGAUUGUGAAAACUUGCAGCUCAACUGCAAGCUUGCAGUCGAUACGGGCAGACUAGAGUACUGCAGGGGAGACUGGAAUUCCUGGUGUAGCGGUGAAAUGCGCAGAUAUCAGGAGGAACACCGGUGGCGAAGGCGGGUCUCUGGGCAGUAACUGACGCUGAGAAGCGAAAGCGUGGGUAGCGAACAGGAUUAGAUACCCUGGUAGUCCACGCCGUAAACGGUGGGUACUAGGUGUGGGUUUCCUUCCACGGGAUCCGUGCCGUAGCUAACGCAUUAAGUACCCCGCCUGGGGAGUACGGCCGCAAGGCUAAAACUCA
rnacentral:rRNA from 1 species